rnacentral:tRNA from 1 species
CCGCUGGAGCUUAGUGGGGUGAGUUGUUGAUUCGUAAUCAGAAGGUCUGCGGUUCGAUUCCGCACAGCGGCA